CUCUGGUGGGAAUUUGGAAAUCAGAGUGCCAAGAAAAACAUUAGCAAUGGUGGCCUUGCUUAUGGGGUUCCAAAGGGGAACAAGGCUCCACUGAGAACUAGGCUAAAAGCCAUUCAUGUUAUAUUCUGACAAAGAAUCUGGCUGCCACUGCCUAUGUCCUAACAACUUCAGUGAGACUGAAUUCAGUGGUUGGCUGAUAUCAAGCCAGACAGCAUCUGGGCUGUGUCUUGAUUACUGCACACUACUUUUACCCAGGUCUACAGUGAGAACAAAUGGAGCAAAAUAGUAAAAAACAAACAAACAAACAACAACAACAAAAAAAAAAACAAAACAUGCCAUUUGUUGGGAAAAAGGAGUUUAAAGCUGAAGACAAGGGAUCAGCAAGAUGAUUCAACAGGUAAAGGCAUUUGCUGCCAAGCCUGAGACUGGAGUAUGAUCCCUGGAUCCUACAUGUUGGAAGAGGAGAACCAACUUCUUCGGGCUCACUGUGAAGACAUCAGAGUCUCAGAAGAAACUGUACUUAACUUCAAAAUAGUAUGAGGACCCGAGUUCAAUUCCCAGCAUCCACAUGGAGACCUACAAACCAUCUGUAACUUCAGUCCCAGGGAAUCAGACAGCCUCUUCUGACCGCUGAGUCAGCAGUCAUAAACAUUGAAAUAAAGAUUAAAAUGUUUAAAGUGA